GGCGAACGGGUGAGUAAUACGUAGGAACAUGUCCAGUAAUGGGGGAUAACGCAGCGAAAGCUGUGCUAAUACCGCAUACGUCCUAAGGGAGAAAGCGGGGGAUUCGCAAGAACCUCGCGUUAUUGGAGUGGCCUACGGCUGAUUAGCUAGUUGGUGAGGUAAAGGCUCACCAAGGCGACGAUCAGUAGCUGGUCUGAGAGGAUGAUCAGCCACACUGGAACUGAGACACGGUCCAGACUCCUACGGGAGGCAGCAGUGGGGAAUCUUGGACAAUGGGGGAAACCCUGAUCCAGCCAUUCCGCGUGAGUGAAGAAGGCCUUCGGGUUGUAAAGCUCUUUCAGCAGGGAAGAAACGGUUUUGGAUAAUACCUGAGACUAAUGACGGUACCUGCAGAAGAAGCACCGGCUAACUACGUGCCAGCAGCCGCGGUAAUACGUAGGGUGCGAGCGUUAAUCGGAAUUACUGGGCGUAAAGCGUGCGCAGGCGGUUUUGUGAGUCAGAUGUGAAAGCCCCGGGCUCAACCUGGGAACUGCGUUUGAAACUAC
rnacentral:rRNA from 1 species